rnacentral:rRNA from 1 species
CAAUCGAACCCGGAGAUAGCUGGUUCUCCUCGAAAUAGCUUUAGGGCUAGCCUCGGUUUAGUCUGCUGGAGGUAGAGCACUGAAUUUCCUAGGGGGCGUCAAAGCUUACCGAAGAAUAUCAAACUCCGAAUGCCAGCCAGAUGAUGACCGGGAGUCAGACUGCACGAGAUAAGUUGGGUAGUCGAGAGGGAAACAGCCCAGACCUACAGCUAAGGUCCCAAAUGUAUGCUAAGUGGAAAACGAUGUGGAAUUGCGAAAACAACCAGGAUGUUGGCUUAGAAGCAGCCACCAUUUAAAGAGUGCGUAAUAGCUCACUGGUCGAGAGACGCUGCGCCGAAAAUGUCCGGGGCUCAAGCACGGAACCGAAGCUAUGGCAUGAUAGCAAUAUCAUGGGUAGGGGAGCGUUCUUAUAAGGAAGAAGCAUGACCGGAAGGACAUGUGGACAAAUAAGAAGUGAGAAUGCCGGUAUGAGUAUCGAAAAGAAAGGUGAGAAUCCUUUCCACCGAAAGCCCGAGGGUUCCUGAGCAACGAUCGUCGACUCAGGGUAAGUCGGGACCUAAGCCGAGGCGAGAAGCGUAGGCGAUGGACAACAGGUUGAAAUUCCUGUACCGGAUCAAGUCGAUCGAGCGAAGGAGCGACGCAGGAGGGCACAUGAUCGCGCGGCUGGAAGAGCGCGUCCAAGUGCGUAUGUUGCUGCAGAGGAAAACCCCUGCAGCUAAAAGCAGAGACAUGAAGGGGAGUUAAAGGAAACUUUGACGAACUCAUGGAUCCCACACUGCCAAGAAAAACUUCUAGCGAGACAAGAUCCGCCCGUACCGUAAACCGACACAGGUAGGCGGGGAGAGAAUCCUAAGGUGCGCGGGAAAACCCUCGUUAAGGAACUCGGCAAAUUGCAUCCGUAACCUAGGGAGAAGGAUGGCCCCCGGUCAGUGAAGAGCAGAAACGCUCAGAGCUAAAAGGGGCGGCAGAAAAGAGGCCCAAGCAACUGUUUACCAAAAACACAGGUGCCUGCGAAAGCGAAAGCUGAAGUAUAGGUGCUGACGCCUGCCCGGUGCCGGAAGGUUAAGGAGAGAAGUUAGCGAAAGCGAAGCAUCGAACUGAAGCCCCGGUGAACGGCGGCCGUAACUAUAACGGUCCUAAGGUAGCGAAAUUCCUUGUCGGGUAAG